CAUGCAGUGCCCCGCUCCCAGCCAAAGUGGAAAGGCUUCCAGGCUGACAUUUUACCUGCAUUUUUCCUCCAUGGGGCUAUGAAAUAAAAGAUACAAGAAAAUUUCAACUGGAGAAGCUUGUGCCAAGCUCAAACUGAAGGCAUCACAAGACAGACAGAAUUAUUGCAGUCAGACAAAGCCCACAGCAAAAACAUGCCAUGAGCAGUUCUGCAAAACCCAUUUCCUGCAGCCAGCGAGAGGACUGUGCUUUCAAAGGUUUUAUAGGCUUACCUGCAGAAAUCCUCCAGCUUUGGAGAAAAUCCCCACAGAAUCUUUUUCCACCAAGCCUGGUAAAUUCAACAACAUUCUUCAUCAUGGAAUGUUUUCCAUAUAAUUGUGGGGAGACAAAGGGGGUGGGACAGGGACAGCACACACAUGACACAACCGCAGAUUAUAGUAUGUUCUUCUCUAAACUACCCUAAUUGAAAUGAACUAAAGGGCCUGUGUAAAACCAAUCAGGGAGAGAAAAAGAAGUGAGUGCAUAACAUAUGGUCCCACUGAUAGAGAAAGCUAUGAAAUGAACUCAACUGGACUAAGCCAUCAGAGGCUUCCAAACAAACAGGCAAAAAUAACUGCUGCUAAUACCAGAAUCAUUAUCAAAUAUACAAAUAUAUCUGUAAAUGGUGUUUCUGCUAAAAACAAGGCUAAAAAGUACAACCUCCUUAUUCUGCAAAUUUACUAUGAGUGCCUUUAUGAAAAGCAUGAAUUUCUGUUCAAGCACCAAUAGUGAACUUAUGUAACACUACUGAGGUCUGUCAACACAGGUGUAUAAACAAGAAAUGCUUGGCUUGUCCUUCUUACUAGAAGAUAGGAAAAUCUGGUUGCAGUUCAUCUUACUUGUAUUCCUGUGUGGAUAUCUCAUCUAAAGAAUAAGGCCCUGAUCUAGCAAAGCAGAAAUGCACACUCAGCUUUCAGCAGACCUAGCUUUAUAGUUCAAAUCAAUGGAAAGAGACACAUCCUAACAGCAGAUGCUGGAGCACAGCUGGGUGCAGUCCACCAAAUUCUCAUGUUCCAAGAUACUUGGGAGAGAUUUGGGCUGCAUGGGCAACCAAGAACAAAAACAGGAUUCAGCUAUGACUGAUUGUGAUGGAGGGCACAACUUUUGGUUGAAGUUUGUAGUCACUACUUUUCCUUCCUACUAAUGUAGGACAGUCAGUGUAACAUGCCAAGUCUUGAAUUCUCUUCUUGUUGAAAUUUUUACCAGUUUCCUAAGGAUGUGAGGUUAAUGUUACCCUAUUCAGUAUAUCACUGAUUUUACCUCUUUCCUACAAAUAUACUAGAGGCAGAACUUGAUGUUCAGAAAGUUCAGAAAACUGGAGGAACACACAGUAAAAAAAAAAAAAAAAAAAAAAAAAAAAAAAAAANNNNNNNNNNNNNNNNNNNNNNNNNNNNNNNNNNNNNNNNNNNNNNNNNNNNNNNNNNNNNNNNNNNNNNNNNNNNNNNNGAAAUUUUGUCAAGACAAGUGAAAAACACUCCCCUUGGACAGGAGUAAUCAAUUUCAGCAGUACAAGUCGGGACCAAAUAGCUAGGAAGUGUUGAAGAACAGUUUCUGGGGUUUACAGUGGACCAUGAACUAAACUCAAGCCUGUGGCAAUAGGCUCAAGACUGCUGUGCAAUACAGCACAUGAUUGUGUAAAUUUGAGAUAAGUGAAGAAGACCAACAAGUAAUCAUGCAAGUACUUCUUGCAUUCUGUACAGCAUUUUUAAGGCCUCUGCAGGAGAUAUAUGCCUAGAUUGAACAAUGUCUUUCAAAAGCAGAAUGAAUCCAGAAUAAACUGAAGUCAGAGGGGCUGUGGAAACUCCA
ensembl:lncRNA